UUUAAUGAAUGUGGAAGGAAGCAUAUACUCGAAGAAUAUUCUUUAUAACCUCGCUUUGGCAUGAUUUGGGCGUUGUUACGAAUUAUAGCACAAAGAUUAAUCCGGAUCUAGGAUUUCAACAUAUAAUUUCAUAGUUCUAAAGAUGGGUUUCAUAUCAGGCUUUGUCGACAUUAAGGAAUUGGGAUUUUCUGAUGUUGUACGAGUCUCUUGAUGAACCAUUUGGGGGAAAUGGCUCGUGGCUAAGGAAGAUGUUGCUUAUAGGAUUAAGGAGUUUUUCUGCUACUUAACCUCUCUCACUCCCUGUAUAGAAGGUGAUGAGCAUGAUGAUUGAUGAAACACAUACAGAUGGAAGACCGAAGACCUAACCAAUGCUGACUGGACAUUACUUUUGUUCAUCUUCCUGGAUGUUGUAACUGCAUCUGCCUAUGGAACUCUAUUCAAGUGUAUUCCUGUGAAGCAUAUGGUUGCAGGAAAAUAUGGAGUUGCUUUAGCAGUUUUAGAACUUAAAGAGGCUAAAAAGGAAGGUUUGGUAGCCGAGGCUGCUCGAGGGAUUGCUUGUAUGGAUGAACAUGUACAAAAAGAUGGAAAAAUAAACCCUUCAGAGUUGAGAAAUAUAACUAGUUUAUUGGGUUAUUCCCCACUCAUAUCGAAAAACCAAGCCUUAUAUGCAAGUGUUGCAACCCUGGUCAUGGCAACAAGCCUGAACUCAACGAAUAGUCACCAAGGAAUGGCAAUAUGCACGAGACUCUCCUGCAAAAGCUUACUGAACUAAUUACCAAUAUAAUUUUUGAAGGGGUUAAUUCCUUGCACGAUUUGGAUAAAAGCAGCAAUACAAACAACCUGCCAACAUCAAUUUAGUCACGGAUAUUGAAAGUCCUAAUUGCAGCAAAAACCCAGGUCUUGUUGGUGUUUGAGAGACUAUAUUGCAAAUGAAUGGGUAAUUUGGCCUGUGACUCAAAUGGAGUUUAUGGAGUUUGAGCAGGAAUGAAAAGUCCUUUUCCUCAUACUCUGUGCAGUGGAAACAUAUACUGCUUUUAAUUUGAGGAUCAGACACUUUUAUGCUGCGAAAACUUCUUGAGUUGCUAAUUUCUCAUAUGAAAUCUGUAAUUUGUGGAAUUUUGCAGAACUAUUUUUAUGUAAAGAU